UACGUAGGGUGCAAGCGUUAAUCGGAAUUACUGGGCGUAAAGCGUGCGCAGGCGGUGAUGUAAGACAGAUGUGAAAUCCCCGGGCUCAACCUGGGAACUGCAUUUGUGACUGUAGAGCUGGAGUACGGUAGAGGGGGAUGGAAUUCCGCGUGUAGCAGUGAAAUGCGUAGAUAUGCGGAGGAACACCGAUGGCGAAGGCAAUCCCCUGGACCUGUACUGACGCUCAUGCACGAAAGCGUGGGGAGCAAACAGG
rnacentral:rRNA from 1 species